rnacentral:rRNA from 1 species
AGGACGAACGCUGGCGGCGUGCUUAACACAUGCAAGUCGAGCGAGGCCCUUCCUUCGGGAAGGUGCCCUAGCGGCGAACGGGUGAGUAACACGUGGGCAACCUGCCCCUAGCACUGGGAUAACCCCGGGAAACCGGGGCUAAUACCGGAUACGACCUCGAGAGGCAUCUCUCGUGGUGGAAAAGGUUACUGGCUAGGGAUGGGCCCGCGGCCUAUCAGCUUGUUGGUGGGGUAAUGGCCCACCAAGGCGACGACGGGUAGCCGGCCUGAGAGGGCGACCGGCCACACUGGGACUGAGACACGGCCCAGACUCCUACGGGAGGCAGCAGUGGGAAUAUUGCACAAUGGGCGAAAGCCUGAUGCAGCGACGCCGCGUGAGGGAUGACGGCCUUCGGGUUGUAAACCUCUUUCAGCUCCGACGAAGCGAAGUGACGGUAGGGGCGAGAAGAAGCGACCGGCCAACUACGUGCCAGCAGCCGC